GCGGGGCGAACCGAACCUCCUCGCGCCGGCUGAUGGCGGCGGCGGGCGCGUGCGGAGGGCCUUGCUYAUGGCGCAGUAGUUGCUGGCGAGGCGAAGGAGGACAGUGGUGCACAUAAGCACUGUCUUACAACCUUUAUACCCUCUUGUCUCAAACUCAAAUGUGGGAUGCUGAGGGGUUCAGAAUCGUGUAGAAGGGAUCGGCAGAUCAUAUCAGCCCAGCUGUGAGGAUGGCUUCUGAAUAUGACUCUAAAAUGUUUGUACUGGUGUAAAAAUGCUGCAAUAAUGCGUAGUUUUGGUUUAACAAGAAGCUUCUCAAGCCUUUACCAGCCCCAAAGAAGUCUUACAGUGGAUCACACUUCUGAAAUGCUGAUAAUAUGCAUGGGACUCAUCCUGCAAGAAUGUGAAUGGGCUCUAAGAUGUGCUGGAGCCCCUCAAUUCAUGUUUGUUUUAAUGGAAGUUGAAG
rnacentral:lncRNA from 1 species